GUGCAUGUUUGUCCAUUUUGCUCCUACCUUUCGGGGCCUUUCCAUGCAUGACUUUGAAUCAUGUGUCAUUGCUCCACAAUUUUCGCAUGCACCCUUCCUAUACUUGUCUGCCUGAUGUAUUUUUGCACCUCUGUCGUACCAGGAUUUUGUAUAAUUCGGAUCUGAUUUCCAUUUCCUUUGAUGUUUUAAACUUGGUCUCUCAGCAUUAAGAUACCAAGGUGCAGAGGACAUAUAUUGAGGAAUGUGAGGGUUGAUUUCUUUCCCAUCUUCAUCGACCUCAGCUGGUGCAAGCCCUGCUUUACGAGCUUCCUCUAAUUCCAGUUGUUUGCGAUGAUCCUCCCUA
rnacentral:misc_RNA from 1 species